rfam:Gossypium hirsutum cultivar TM-1 chromosome 19, whole genome shotgun sequence
AAUCCAUGUAUUAGAAUUUUUGCAGCAAUUCCUUAAAUCUUUCCCAAGCUUUAUACAACGACUCAUCCUCUGAUUGCCAAAAAGAUGUGAUUUCAUUUCUAAGCUU